rnacentral:rRNA from 1 species
UACACGUAAGAGCCGUUUACCUGGGUUUGACAUAUAGGUUGUAGGGAACUGAAAGGGACCGACCCUUCGGGAGCUUGUACAGGUGCUGCAUGGCUGUCGUCAGCUCGUGUCGUGAGAUGUUCGGUUAAGUCCGCUAACGAGCGCAACCCUCGCUGUGUGUUACAAGUGUCACACGGAACUGCCGGUCAUAAACCGGAGGAAGUGGGAUGACGUCAAGUCAGCAUGGCCUUUAUAUCCUGGGCUACACACACGCUACAAUGGGAAGGGACAAUAGGUUGCGAAGCCGCGAGGCGGAGCCAAUCCAGCAAAACUUCCCUCAGUUCAGAUUGCAGGCUGCAACCCGCCUGCAUGAAGUUGGAGUUGCUAGUAAACGCAGGUCAGCCAUACUGCGUUGAAUACGUUCCCGGGGCUU